CAGGUGCCCGCCACCAAGCCAAGGGCAUUCUGUAAGGCUCCAGUGUGCAACUGUGCGCGCCUCAUGGUCAUCAGAAAUGCCAGGGGAUCAACACCUUCUGGGACAGCCCCUACCAAGUGGCACUGGUGGAUCAAUACCCCAACUCCUUCACCUCAGGACAGAAGCCUGUGAUGCAGAUGUGGCCAGUCAGUGCCCUGGGGCUCCAGCAGCAGUGCAGGAAUGCGGAACGGAUCAUAACGACCCAACCAGCAUGAAGGAAUUCUGAUAUUGGAGGAAGGGCUACCAGGAGAAAACAUUCCUCUUUUCCCCAGCCAGCCUUCAGCUAGCCUGAGAGAAUGUGAGGCUGGAGCUACCAUCCUGCCACUACGAAGAGAGAACCUGCCGAGCAAGGAGGCAACACAGAGCCAGAUAUGGAGAGAAAUAAGCAGUCCUGAAAUGCCAUUUCAUCCUCUGGAUCAAACCAUUCCUGAAGAUGAGGACGCUAAGGCACGGGCGGAGGCUCACCCUUGACUGAACUCACGAAGCUAAGCCAGGCAAGGCUGCAGCCUGCCCAACACCCGAAGGUGUGCCCACACGGCUCCCCAGCCCUGCGACCCAGCUUUGCCAUCUUCCUCCUCAUUUCUGCCUGCCCAAGCGUGUCUCGCCACCUGCCUGCUCCCCUUUUCCCUGAGACCUCAGCUGCAGCCCCUGUCUCCUUGGCCACACUGGCCUUGUCCAGCAGCUUGGACGGCUGGACCCGUCUCCACUUGCCUAGCAGGGCUGCCACCGUUCGGGGCACUUGGCUUCAAGUAGACACUCAGAUGGAGGCUGGAGGGGCUGCGUCCCCGAGGCCCUGUUUGUGGGUGCUGUGUGCACCUCUCAAACCCGUUUCCGUGCAUCCCCAAGGCCAACACCCUAGUUAAGCCACAGACGUCUAGCACCGGCCACAACCUCCUCGCUGGUCUUCCGGCCCUUGGCCUCUCCAUUUCACCGCCACUCUUCCCCACUUCCUGCUGCCCUGCCUGGUGCCUGAAGCCUCCAGCUACCUCUCAGUGCCACGCCCCUGCAGGCCCCUCUCCCCACCCCAGAUCCCCUGCAGGAGGCCUCAGCCUGCCUGACUCCAGCUCAGCUCUCUGACUUCAUCUUAAGGUCAGGUCCUGAGGGAAGCCAGCCCACUUCCAGACCUGCCAGGGGCCUCUGACACAGGCCCUGUUCCCCUCCCACCGCACCCUGUGGCCCCAGGGCCCUGUCAUCACCACUCACUCUCUCACUACUCAAUUGGAGACCUCACAGUGGGGGGCCAGGAUGGCUGUGGCAACCACACUUUGGUGACAGGACUGCAGAGCACCUGGUCCCUGGAGGUCUGGGGUAGAGGAAGAGCCCGUAGUUUGAAAGGUGGAGGGAGCUGUUAAAAUUGUGAAUUUGGUGACAUAUUGCAUUUCUUAGGAAUGUGGGUUUCCUUGCUUUAAAUCUGUGAUUUUCAAGCAAGAGCCACUUAGGGUAACCUGGGCAUUACCUUUU